ensembl:lncRNA
UCCUGCCCUUGGCUGCCUGCUCAGCUAACAGCACUGGUCUUGUGACAUCCCGCUCAGAUGGCAGCACAUAUCCGUGUGUUUAAAAAAAUAUGUUAUCUUUACAGCAUUGCUCCAGUAAGAUGACACCCAGAAUACCAGGUACUGAAGAUAAGCAACAGAAGAACUAAAGAUUUGGAGCUGAAUGUGCAUAGAAGUACAUGCAUUCAAGUCCUGGGAUAACAACUUUUCCAAACCUCAUGAGAGCAGCGGUUUGGAGACACAGGACAAAUGCUCUUCCAAAGAGGUGGAGGAAGAGAAGAAAACCCUUCCCAUCUGCACUGAGAGCAUGGGAGCCAAGUUUCUGCCUGGAACGAUCUGAGGGGCUGAUGUACAGUUAUCCAGAAAUACAGCAUUUCAUCAUUUACUUCAAAGGACUACCACGGAAAGAGAGCAAAAGUAAGCCAGGUAAUGACUUUCCAAAGAAAAUCAUCAUGUACAUGGCACAGCUUUGCAAAGGGCUUCAUUCUGCUAGAGAGAAGAGCUACUGCCCUCGCUACUCUUCCUCCACCAUGUUCCCACAGUUCUCAUGCUUAUUUUAAACUUUCUUUCCCCUCUUUCCCACGUUCUUGUUUCUUUUUGAUAACAUUCAUUUAAUUAUAAAAAAUAUAAAGGGGUCAAAGGGUUGCUUUUGGAAUAAUGGAUGCCUAGGACAGCUGGGGCUUACUCAAGAUGGCAAGUCUUCUCAAGGAUACAGCUCCAAGUAUUCUGUGAGUGCAGAGUAAUAUUACAUCUUCUGCAACUUUGACAUUAACUUCCUGUGAAAUUCUGGUCUGCAAGUACGUGCUCUGCAGCAGUAUGACUGGCACUCCUGCUCCACAUUCAGUGUAUGUCCUUGCAGUUUUUAACAUCAGUGUUGAAGUUAUGUCCAGGAGCUGACUGCAGAGGAAAGCUUAGAACACACAAAUUUAUUUUCACUUUUGCCAACACCACUGAGCCCACAGGGAGCUCAUGUGUUACUGUGCCUUAAGUAAGCUGCUAGCCCAGAAUCACCUGUGAAAGCACUGCACGCAAGCAGUAAGUUGACCAUUACUGCCAACUUACUAACACAAGAAAUGUAACAAGUGUUGUAGAAAUAGAUUUCUAUCAGUCAGAAGUGCUUAAACUCAAUUUCUUUCACGGAUUAGUCUUUGAAUUGUUUGAAACACAGCAAGUUCCUCACACUGCUUGUGGGGAAGAGUAAGCAGCAAGGCUGGCUCAAGCAAGGCCUUGUCUCCAACAAGCGGCAGAUUCACGAACCAGACAGAUUCCCAGCUUUGGUCUCUGCCCGAUGCUUUGCCAUUUUCUCAUCCUUUGCUUUCUCAUUCUUGUUCUCUGUUUGUGUAAAAGGUGCAAUCAGAAAAUAAAGAGAUUACACUUCAUCUCCUGCCAGUAUCUCUGAUGCGAGUGCUGAAUGUAAAACUUGAAAUCAGUACUACGGAAGAACAGCUUCUAUCUACCAUUUGCUCAGAGAAGAUAUAAGGUUAAACAGGGGCUACUUACAUUUCUACACUGAUAUUACCAAAUCAUGUUAUUCUCAAAAGGAGGUUUUCCUGUGCCAGUUCAUUCUUUGGCUUUCUUGCUGCGUACACUAACCUGGAAGUUUGUUUAACAUAUACAGAUAUAUAUUGAAUAAUUGUUGACUAUAUACGACCCUUUUUAUGAUUGCAG